GACGAACGCUGGCGGCGUGCUUAACACAUGCAAGUCGUACGGUAAGGCCCUUUCGGGGGUACACGAGUGGCGAACGGGUGAGUAACACGUGAGUAACCUGCCCGCAACUUUGGGAUAACGCUAGGAAACUGGUGCUAAUACUGGAUAUGUGCUCCUGCUGCAUGGUGGGGGUUGGAAAGCUCCGGCGGUUGUGGAUGGACUCGCGGCCUAUCAGCUUGUUGGUGGGGUAGUGGCCUACCAAGGCGGCGACGGGUAGCCGGCCUGAGAGGGUGACCGGCCACAUUGGGACUGUGAUACGGCCCAGACUCCUACGGGAGGCAGCAGUGGGGAAUAUUGCACAAUGGGCGCAAGCCUGAUGCAGCAACGCCGCGUGCGGGAUGACGGCCUUCGGGUUGUAAACCGCUUUCAGCAGGGACGAAGCUUUUUGUGACGGUACCUGCAGAAGAAGCACCGGCUAACUACGUG
rnacentral:rRNA from 1 species